rnacentral:misc_RNA from 1 species
GUUUCCAACAAGGUUGCAGUUGCAGCUUUUCUUGAAGAAGAUAUUUUCGUCAUGUUAUUCUAUGCUAUCAAGUGGUACAAAUAGAAAAGUUGCAUUUUUUUUGUUAAGGAAUUCUACCCUGGCCUAGAAAAGGAAGCUCAUGCUAAGAAAGAGAUCUUUACCUAGUUCCAUUCCAAGUUCAAGCUAUUUCAAGAAGAUCAAAA